rnacentral:sRNA from 1 species
UCUGUUGCGUGGGCGGGUCAGUUGAGGGCGGCGAUGUUCAAAGUUAGUGGCGGCGCACCAAAAAAAAAGAGAAAAAAUACUAUUAUUAUUAAGGGAAUAAAUACAUACCCGGAAAAGAAUUGCGCUGCGGCCAAUACCAGAAAAGACGUAGGAAAUUGUAUUAACAUGUUGGAUGCACUUGUGCAUCAUGUGAAUCGAAAAACUGAAUGGAAAGGGGAAACGGCAAGCGUUGCCAUAUCAAAGCGAAAUGGGUUAUUGUUCAGUGUAAAAUUCAGUACUGGUUUUAUCAACGCUGAUAGUCGGCCAUUUAGUGAGGGUAGUAUCGUCAAUGUAGAUGUAAACAAAGUAAUAUUGGUUCUUAGAUGUGUAUGUUAUCAAAAAUGUCGUGGAAAGUUGGGGAAAAUGGUGGAAAUUUCAAUGUCCUAUAUAAGGCACGAUGCAGCAAAGAGCGGGUUGAUUUGUGCAGUAACCGCCAUUGAGUGCCGGCUUAAACUUUGAAGUGGAAGUAAUUUGAAAGUGUUUGUGCCGCAAUUUUUAAAUGAAAAGACAGUUGGUUGUUGUUUGUUUUUAUAUUUAUUUUAUGGGAAUAACGACCAAAAAUUUCCUGAACAUAAUCACCAACAUUACUGGCCUCAGGUAUUCCAGAAGUGGGGCCAGUGAUUCGUCUUUCACCCAGUAUUUCUACCGUAAUUUUGGGGUUGUGGCAGCAAAUUACUAGGAAGCAUCACCCGCAUCAUCAUCCUUUCUAUAGAAAAAUUGAAGUGCCGGUAGUGUCAGCCUUAUCCACCAAUUGCCAGUCACUACGAUACCUGUGCGUUGGUUUGGAUUAGUCAGUGUGCAUCGGGGUUAAGGUAUUACCAAUUGCCACACAUUCAAGGCUGGAGCGCAAGGUAACCCUUAGAAUUUGAAUUUUAUAAGAUAUAUAACAAAGGGGCUAAGAGUGCGUCGGCGGUUUCCUGCAAAACAAGAAAAGAAGAAAUUUUUAAUGUUUUUAAAAAAAGACAUCAAUUAAGAUGCAAUUGUCAAACAAGCCUAAAUUUUAAUAAUUAAUUAACCAUUAAACAACGUAUAUGUAUUUAGUGUUAAAAUUGUGUUGUCUUUGUGUAUGUCCUAGAGUUUAAGUGAUUUCAACUGUAAGGAUUUUUAACGCCAGGAUAGUAAUCACAAGUUGUGUGCGAUUUCAGAGAGGUCGGGUAUUAGAAUUGUUCAUUUUGGCCCAGGAAUAACCAUCUUAAGCGAGCUCUCUUAGGGUAGGCAUUUGGUAAUAAAAUUUGCGUGAAUAAAAAGCAAUAGUCUCUCGCUAAACUGGUGUUAGAUAUUCCGUU